UAAGGUCUGGUCUAGGUAUAAGCACUUAUACCGUGAAACUGCGAAUGGCUCAUUAAAUCAGUUAUCGUUUAUUUGAUAGUACCUUACUACUUGGAUAACCGUGGUAAUUCUAGAGCUAAUACAUGCUAAAAACCCCAACUUCGGGAGGGGUGUAUUUAUUAGAUAAAAAACCAAUGCCCUUCGGGGCUCCUUGGUGAAUCAUAAUAACUUAACGGAUCGCAUGGCCUUGCGCCGGCGACGGUUCAUUCAAAUUUCUGCCCUAUCAACUUUCGAUUGUAGGGUAUUGGCCUACAAUGGUAUCAACGGGUAACGGGGAAUUAGGGUUCGAUUCCGGAGAGGGAGCCUGAGAAACGGCUACCACAUCCAAGGAAGGCAGCAGGCGCGCAAAUUACCCAAUCCCGACGCGGGGAGGUAGUGACAAUAAAUACUGAUACAGGGCUCUUUUGGGUCUUGUAAUUGGAAUGAGUACAAUUUAAAUCCCUUAACGAGGAACAAUUGGAGGGCAAGUCUGGUGCCAGCAGCCGCGGUAAUUCCAGCUCCAAUAGCGUAUAUUAAAGUUGUUGCAGUUAAAAAGCUCGUAGUUGAACCUUGGGCCUGGCUGGCCGGUCCGCCUCACCGCGUGCACUGGUCCGGCCGGGCCUUUCCUUCUGGAGAGCCGCAUGCCCUUCACUGGGUGUGUCGGGGAACCAGGACUUUUACUUUGAAAAAAUUAGAGUGUUCAAAGCAGGCCUUUGCUCGAAUACAUUAGCAUGGAAUAAUAGAAUAGGACGUGCGGUCCUAUUUUGUUGGUUUCUAGGACCGCCGUAAUGAUUAAUAGGGAUAGUCGGGGGCAUCAGUAUUCAAUUGUCAGAGGUGAAAUUCUUGGAUUUAUUGAAGACUAACUACUGCGAAAGCAUUUGCCAAGGAUGUUUUCAUUAAUCAGUGAACGAAAGUUAGGGGAUCGAAGACGAUCAGAUACCGUCGUAGUCUUAACCGUAAACUAUGCCGACUAGGGAUCGGGCGAUGUAAUAUUUGACUCGCUCGGCACCUUACGAGAAAUCAAGUUUUUGGUUCUGGGGGGGGAGUUAUGGGUCGCAGGCUGAAACUUAAACGAAAUUUGACGGAAGGA
rnacentral:rRNA from 1 species